UGCAGUCGAGCGGAUGACAGGAGCUUGCUCCUGAAUUCAGCGGCGGACGGGUGAGUAAUGCCUAGGAAUCUGCCUGGUAGUGGGGGACAACGUUUCGAAAGGAACGCUAAUACCGCAUACGUCCUACGGGAGAAAGCAGGGGACCUUCGGGCCUUGCGCUAUCAGAUGAGCCUAGGUCGGAUUAGCUAGUUGGUGAGGUAAUGGCUCACCAAGGCGACGAUCCGUAACUGGUCUGAGAGGAUGAUCAGUCACACUGGAACUGAGACACGGUCCAGACUCCUACGGGAGGCAGCAGUGGGGAAUAUUGGACAAUGGGCGAAAGCCUGAUCCAGCCAUGCCGCGUGUGUGAAGA
rnacentral:rRNA from 1 species